GCAGCUGGUGUGUCUUUGAGAUAUCGACUUUCAAUUCUCAGCUUGGAUGGAUUGGAUGCACAAAAGAAAAAUCUGAUUCUUCAGAAGAUAAACACAGUUCUUCAGGGUGAAUUUGAUAAAAGCUCCUUUUCUGCAUCCUGGACCGAAGAGUAAACUGCAAACUCUCUGGGAUCCCUUUGAGGCCUACGGCACACAUGGUGCUAAUGUUCAUGUCCUGCUUUGCUUCCUUUAAUGUCACAAAAUCUAGAAAGUGUGACAAACUGAGAAAUUUAAAACGUGCUCUGGAUGGACCUUACUUCAACAUACUUCUGACCAUUAAGAACUACUUCACUGUAACACGAUGGUUAAUCAUUCUCAGAUGUUGUGUGGAACAUCUCGUCUCUUCUGGUUUGUGGAGCCUUCAGGAGCUGAACAGCACUGGCUGAGCCAACAGCUAUAAUUAACGGUGUGAAUGAAGCACAAACUUUCCAAAUCUCCCAACUUAAUCUUCCAACUUGCAGAGCCAUCUGAGACUGGAGCCUCGAUUCAAGAGAGUGUUGGCAUGUUGGGCUCUGAUGGUUUUCUGAUUUCUUUUUUUAUGCCUUAUAAUUGUCUUUGACAGCUAGAAGAGUUUGUCCAACUGCUUUCUGGAAGACCCUUCACAUUUUCUCUUUUUACAAACAAUCAAUACAAUCAAGAAUAAAUGGGUGAAGUCCCUCACAUUUAGUAGUGAUGUGACUAAGCUCACCCUCGUGAUGACAUAAAUUAACUCGAUUUUUCCUUUUCUGCAGUAUUAAAUGAUGAGUUUGGGAAAAUUUCAUGAUUAAUAAUAUUUUAAUAAAUCUUUUUCUUCUCA